AGAUUCCUCCUUUCACAUACUGAACAUGAAGGAUCAAUCGCAUCUCAAAUUUGCUCCGAAAAUUCAGGGAAAAUUUCAUCGAUCAAGAACUGAAAUUCGUAGGAUCGCCACUUACAUUUGAUGAAACAAUCCGGAGGUCAUCAUCCGGCGUUGGUAGAGUACAAGGCCUAGCCGCUGCUUCCGACAAAAAAAAAAGUCGAGCGCCGGCUCCAGGCUCAAGCAUGCCGCCUCGGGAUGAGAUCCUAGCAACAAUAAUAUGAAUUUGGUGUAUCUCAUGACCGUUGGAUCGAGACGGAUGGAUGAGAUAUAAUGCUACAACAUUCGCUACAGUAAUGAAUAGUGUUUUAAAAUUGCUGUUGCUAUGGUAUUCCAGCACUGUUCAUGGUAUUAAAAUAUUGUUCCACUCAGACUGCAGACGUACGGAGGAAGCAGAGGAAGAGGAGAGCAAGGGAGAGAAAGGAAGAAAAUAGGAAAAAAUAAAAACAAAAACCUAACAUAUGGGCCACUAUACAUCAUGUUAAUAAAACUAGAUAAAAAAUAAAUUGACGCUAUCGAGAGAUUUUUUAGGGCACAUUUUUUUUGAUUUAAGAUUAAGAAUAAUUUUAUACAUACCUGACGUUAAGUUAAAGAGACCUACGAUGAACUUGCUUCCACACAAGAAGGAAUUGCUCGGACAAGAGAC
rnacentral:lncRNA from 1 species